UGUUUGGUGACUCUGAAUAACUAAGCUGAUCGCAUGGUCUUGCACCGGCGACGUGUCUUUCAAGUAUCUGCCUUAUCAACUUUCGAUGGUAGUUUAUGUGACUACCAUGGUUGUAACGGGUAACGGAGAAUAAGGGUUCGACUCCGGAGAGGGAGCCUGAGAAACGGCUACCACAUCCAAGGAAGGCAGCAGGCGCGCAAAUUACCCACUCUCGGUACGAGGAGGUAGUGACGAAAAAUAACGAGACCGUUCUCUAUGAGGCCGGUUAUCGGAAUGGGUACAAUUUAAAGCCUUUAACGAGGAUCUAUGAGAGGGCAAGUCUGGUGCCAGCAGCCGCGGUAAUUCCAGCUCUCAAAGUGUAUAUAGUCAUUGCUGCGGUUAAAAAGCUCGUAGUUGGAUCUGCGCCUCAGGACUUGGUCCGCCCACUGGGUGUGAACUGAGCUCCUAGGCUGAAACUGCUGGUUUUCCCUUCGUGGCCUUCACCGGUUGCGUUGGGUGGCUAGCGAGUUUACUUUGAAAAAAUUAGAGUGCUCAAAACAGGCUCUGCCUGAAUAUUCGUGCAUGGAAUAAUGGAAUAGGACUUCGGUUCUAUUUUGUUGGUUUUCUGAACGGAGGUAAUGGUUAAGAGGGACAGACGGGGGCAUUCGUAUCGCUGCGUGAGAGGUGAAAUUCUUGGACCGCAGCGAGACGCC
rnacentral:rRNA from 1 species